CAACAAAGGAGAAUAUUAGUACAAUGUAUUACAAAUAUGGCUAAAUAAUGGAGAAAAUACAAAAAUAUAGAUAAAACCCUUUUUUGUAGAUUGGCUAUGAUUUUUCCCAAAUGUUUUGCCAAAUCCUUGAUGUAAUCUCCUUGUUGCUCUAUAUUGUAUCUCCAAAAUAACCAAGAAAAAAAAAAGGAAAAGAUUAGAAGAUGAAAGCAAAAAAAUAAUAAUAAUAAAGAAAGACCCAGCAAAAAAGGGAACCCAGCAGAAG
rnacentral:lncRNA from 1 species